rnacentral:rRNA from 1 species
AUGGUUUGCUUUACCUGUGGAGGCCCUGGCCACUACGUUGGUAACUGCAUCCAAAAGAAAGCUUGCUUCAUCUGUGGGUUGGAGGGUCACAAUGUCAAUAAUUGUGCAGCCUGGGCGCAACCUCAUCUAGUUGCCACUUUCUUUGGGAGUUCUGCUCUGGGACUGGGGUUCUAUCAUAUUGAUGCUCCUAUGGGGAGAGAAGCAAGUUGGCUGAACUUCAGAAACUGUGGAGAAGUUUGGGUCAUGAAAGGCGAAAUCAACAAGUCAGAUCUGGUUAAGAAUCUCUCUGGUAUAUUCUGCAAAAACAAGCAAUGGACAUGGCAGAUCAGACCACUGUCAGAGAAGAAGUUCCUGGUCAGAUUCCCACCCUGGAAAGAUGUCAAAGAACUGAUUGAAUUCCCUGCCUUUGAUCUGCCCAUCGAUGGAGUGUCUGUGUCUGUGGAAAAGUGGACCGGUACAAUUGACCCAUUCAGCGAGCUUACUGAAGCAUGGGUUGUCGUUGAGGGUCUAUCGUCCAAAUGGUGCACAUGGAAAGUCCUAUCUCAGAUUGCUUCCUGCUUUGGAAUUCUUGUGGAUGUCGAUUGGAAUGGUCUGAUGAAGAGCUUUUAUGAGACAGUGAGAGUCAAAAUUGCUUGUAGGGACCCAGCUAAGAUCCCUUUCGAACGGAUUAUGGAGAUGAGGAAAAAACUCUAUAUCUUAUCCUUUACUGUGGAAGGUUUUGACCAGAUAGGGGCUGAUGAUCCUAAUGAUGAUGAUGGACCUACCAGAUAAGGACAUCCUGGAUGA